AGUGAACGCUGGCGGUAGGCCUAACACAUGCAAGUCGAACGACAGCACAGUAAGAGCUUGCCCUUAAGGGUGGCGAGUGACGGACGGGUGAGACAUACAUCAGAAUCUUCUUUUUCGUGGGGGAUAACGUAGGAAAACUUCCGAUAAUACCGCAUAUGUCCUACGGGUGAAAUCAAGAGAUAUUCGGACCUUGCCCGUCUGAAUGAGCCGAUGUCGGAUUAGCUAGUUGGCGGGGUAAAGGCUCACCAAGGCAACGAUACGUAGCUGAUCUGAGAGGAUGAUCAGCCACACUGGAACUGAGACACGGUCCAGACUCCUACGGGAGGCAGCAGUGGGGAAUAUUGGACAAUGGGCGCAAGCCUGAUCCAGCCAUACCGCGUGGGUGAAGAAGGCCUUCGGGUUGUAAAGCCCUUUUGUUGGGAAAGAAAAGCAGCAGGUUAAUACCCCGCUGUUCUGACGGUACCCAAAGAAUAAGCACCGGCUAACUUCGUG
rnacentral:rRNA from 1 species